GUAGUUGUUACCGUUAACACUGUUGGAAUACCCGGUGGUUAAAAAAUACAGUAAUAUGCGUGGUUGCACAGUAGCACACGGUAUUGCACAGAAUUUUUGAAUUAUUGAUUCUUACAUAAGAAGGCACUACUCAAUAAUUGUUACAGUAGUUACUGUGACGCCCCCAAAAUAGGUCAAUUCCAUCCAACCCAUUUUGAGUCGUCAAAUACAUGGUACAGAAACAACUAC
rnacentral:lncRNA from 1 species